rnacentral:rRNA from 1 species
AAAUUGAAGAGUUUGAUCAUGGCUCAGAUUGAACGCUGGCGGCAGGCCUAACACAUGCAAGUCGAGCGGUAGCACAGAGAGCUUGCUCUCGGGUGACGAGCGGCGGACGGGUGAGUAAUGUCUGGGAAACUGCCUGAUGGAGGGGGAUAACUACUGGAAACGGUAGCUAAUACCGCAUAACGUCGCAAGACCAAAGUGGGGGACCUUCGGGCCUCAUGCCAUCAGAUGUGCCCAGAUGGGAUUAGCUAGUAGGUGGGGUAACGGCUCACCUAGGCGACGAUCCCUAGCUGGUCUGAGAGGAUGACCAGCCACACUGGAACUGAGACACGGUCCAGACUCCUACGGGAGGCAGCAGUGGGGAAUAUUGCACAAUGGGCGCAAGCCUGAUGCAGCCAUGCCGCGUGUGUGAAGAAGGCCUUCGGGUUGUAAAGCACUUUCAGCGGGGAGGAAGGCGUUAAGGUUAAUAACC